GAGCGGGGGUCCCCACGCUGCUCCGGGGCCAAUAGGGGCAGCCGGGGAGGAGCGGGCAGGGGGGCAGGCAGCUCUGCUGGGGGGCAGAGCACGCUGGGGAGGCUUUUAGCCAAGCUGCGCUGGGAAUCGCCGGUCGCCAUGAAAGACUUCACCGAAAUCACACUUUGCCCUGAGGCUCUGGACCACAGCAAGACUGAGUUCUGCAACCCUGUCUUCGAGGGCGAGGAGCCCCGGGCAGCACCAAGCGCCGAGCACCCAUCAGAUGAGGACAGGACCAGCCCUGUAUCGCCCCGGGACGGCCUCGGCCGGCAGCUCUGGGGCCAGGCAGACUGGCGGUACCGUGCUGACUGCAAGUUCACCUGGCUCUGCGUGGCUCUGAUGAGUGCUGUCCUCCUCUUCCUCAUCGCCCUCCUGAUGGGCAUCGUCAUCCAUCCCAUUUCUCCCUGCUGGGGCUGAGCUGUCC
rnacentral:lncRNA from 1 species